CCUACGGGAGGCUGCAGUGAGGAAUCUUCGUCAAUGGACGAGAGUCUGAACCAGCCAAGUAGCGUGAAGGAUGACUGCCCUAUGGGUUGUAAACUUCUUUUAUAAAGGAAUAAAACGAGGCACGUGUGCCUUUUUGCAUGUGCUUGAUGAUUAAGGGUCGGCUAACUCCGUGCCAGCAGCCGCGGUAAUACGGAGGAUCCGAGCGUUAUCCGGAUUUAUUGGGUUUAAAGGGAGCGUAGAUGGGUUGUAAAGUCAGUUGUUAAAGUUUGCUGCUCAACCGUAAAAUUGCAAUUGAUACUGGCAGUCUUGAGUACAGGUGAGGUAAGCGGAAGUCGUGGUGUAGCGGUGAAAUGCUUAGAUAUCACGAAGAACCCCGAUUGCGAAGGCAGCUUACUAAACUGUGACUGACAUUGAUGCUCGAAAGUGUGGGUAUCAAACAGGAUUAGAUACCCGGGUAGUC
rnacentral:rRNA from 1 species